UUUGUACUCCCUCCGUUCGGGAUUACUUGUCGCGAAAAUGGAUGUAUCUAGACGUAUUUUAGUUCUAGAUACAUCCAUUUUCGAGACAAGUAAUUCCGAACGGAGGGAGUAGAAA
rfam:Triticum aestivum genome assembly, contig: Triticum_aestivum_CS42_TGACv1_scaffold_603529_7DL